AACGAACGCUGGCGGCAGGCCUAACACAUGCAAGUCGAACGUGAAGCCACCUUCGGGUGGUGGAAAGUGGCAGACGGGUGAGUAACGCGUGGGAACGUGCCUUUCGGUUCGGAAUAACCCAGGGAAACUUGGGCUAAUACCGGAUACGCCCUUCGGGGGAAAGAUUCAUCGCCGAAAGAUCGGCCCGCGUCGGAUUAGCUAGUUGGUAGGGUAAUGGCCUACCAAGGCGACGAUCCGUAGCUGGUCUGAGAGGAUGACCAGCCACACUGGGACUGAGACACGGCCCAGACUCCUACGGGAGGCAGCAGUGGGGAAUAUUGGACAAUGGGCGAAAGCCUGAUCCAGCCAUGCCGCGUGGGUGAAGAAGGCCCUAGGGUUGUAAACCCCUUUCAGCGGGGAAGAUAAUGACGGUACCCGCAGAAGAAGCCCCGGCUAACUCCGUGCCAGCCGCCGCCGUAAAAC
rnacentral:rRNA from 1 species